rnacentral:rRNA from 1 species
UGCAAGUCGAACGGCAGCACAGGAGAGCUUGCUCUCUGGGUGGCGAGUGGCGGACGGGUGAGGAAUACAUCGGAAUCUACUCUGUCGUGGGGGAUAACGUAGGGAAACUUACGCUAAUACCGCAUACGACCUACGGGUGAAAGUGGGGGACCGCAAGGCCUCACGCGAUUGAAUGAGCCGAUGUCGGAUUAGCUAGUUGGCGGGGUAAAGGCCCACCAAGGCGACGAUCCGUAGCUGGUCUGAGAGGAUGAUCAGCCACACUGGAACUGAGACACGGUCCAGACUCCUACGGGAGGCAGCAGUGGGGAAUAUUGGACAAUGGGCGCAAGCCUGAUCCAGCCAUACCGCGUGAGUGAAGAAGGCCCUCGGGUUGUAAAGCUCUUUUGUUGGGAAAGAAAUCCUGUCGGUUAAUACCUGGCAGGGAUGACGGUACCCAAAGAAUAAGCACCGGCUAACUUCGUGCCAGCAGCCGCGGUAAUACGAAGGGUGCAAGCGUUACUCGGAAUUACUGGGCGUAAAGCGUGCGUAGGUGGUUGUUUAAGUCUGUCGUGAAAGCCCUGGGCUCAACCUGGGAAUUGCGAUGGAUACUGGGCAACUAGAGUGUGGUAGAGGGUGGCGGAAUUCCCGGUGUAGCAGUGAAAUGCGUAGAGAUCGGGAGGAAACAUCCGUG